ensembl:lncRNA
AACUGAGUAACUAACAUUUUCAACUUUCAUACAUAUAUGUGUGUGUGUAUUUAUAUAUACUUUUUCACAUUCUUCUCCAUUAUAGGUUAUUACAGGAUUCUGAAUACAGUUCCCUGAGUUACACAAAACUGCUGGAGAUAAGAACCUUGAAGAUGAUGAAUGCAGUGGCUGGCCAUUGGAAGUUGACAACAACAAAUUGAGAGUGGUCAUCGAAGCUGAUCCUCUUACAACUGCAUGAGAAGUUGCUGCACAAUUCAACAUCAACCAUUCUAUGGUCAUUUGGCAUUUGAAGCAAAUUGGAAAGUUCAAUAAGUGGGUGCCUCAUGAGCCCACUGAAAAUAAAAUAAACUGUCGUUUUUGAAAUGUGAUUAUAUGCAACAACAACAAAACAUUUCUCAAUCGGAUUGUGAUGUGCAAUGAACAGUGGACUUUAUAUGACAACUGGUGAUGGCCAGCUCAGUGGUUGGACCGAGAAGAAGCUCCAAAGCACUUUCCAACACCAAACUUGCACCAAAAACUGGUCAUGGUCACCGUUGGGCAGUCUGCUGUCUGUCUGAUCCACUACAGCUUUCUAAAUUCCAGUGGAAACUUUCCAUCUGAGAAGUGUGAUCAGAAAAUCAAUGAGAUGCACCCAAACUGCAAUGUGUGCAGCUGGCGUCGGUCAACAGAAAGGGCGCAAUUCUUCUGUAUGACAACACUCAACCACACGUCUCACAACCAACGCUUCAAAAGUUGAACGAACUGGGCUAUGAAGUUUGGCCUCAUCUGCCAUGUUCACCUCAUCUCUCGCCAGCCGACUAUCAUUUCUUCAAGCAUCUUGACAACUUUUUGCAGGGAAAACAGUUCCACAAACCAGCAGGAGGCAGAAACUGUUUUCCAAGAGUUCACUGAAUCCUGAAGAAUGGAUUUUUACAUUACAGGAAUAUUGGCUAAAAUGUGUUGAUUUUAAUGGUUCCUAUUUUGAUUAAUAAAGAUGUGUUUGAGCCUAGUUAUAAUGAUUUAAAAUUCGCAGUCCAAAACCAUAAUUACAUUGCACCAACCUAAUAUAUUUG